rnacentral:lncRNA from 1 species
CCAGCCGAGUCGCGGGGGAACAGUUCAACUGGUGUGUGCAUGUUGUGGCGUGCGUGUGCUCGUGUGUUCGUGCGUGCGCGAGGUGGUUUAACUGAACUGAAUGAUCUUCUCUAUCUCAACCGCAGGCGAGGUGAGGAUGACCUUGAGUUGCUGCUGUUAGUUCUUUUCAGUUAUGACAUGCUUUUUUGCUCCAUUCGACGUUUUUUGUACAAAAAAUUGAUGCUCUGUAUGUGCUUGCUGAGAUGCCUAUGAGGAACCGACACAUUCAAGGGAUCCUAUUAUGCCAACCCAUUUUUUUAUGUCCCUACUACUGAUGAUGUCCUUCUAAGUAGGUAUAGCAUUUCGGACAUAAAAAUAUCACUUCCGCUCACUGAUAAUAUUUAGUUUUGUGUGAAUGCUCCAGUCUAAUAUAUUGGUCCGGUCUCAGUUUAUAUUAAACUUCUAAAUGCUGGUUAGUGCUUGUAUCACUCAUUAUCAUCUGAUGUGUUCACUAAUUUUUUGAGAAAUCAGGGAAAAGACAUAAUAAGCCCUUCCUAUAAUAUUGUUCGAUCUAGCUAUCCUAUGAUAUCAUGCGUCCAUGCUCUUGUUCAAUUCCCCCCUGAUCCAAACACGAGAAAUGAUAAUCUGUGUGGUUCUUUACUUUCUUCUAUCAUUUUGAGGUAGUUCCAAAUGAUGGGAAGAUGGUUAGGGGACAACUACCCUUCUCUGAUGUGGAUGUUGAAGAAGUUCAGGUUAGCAUGUAAUCCACUGGAUCAUCUAUUGGCUACCAUGCUUCUGAAACUUACGCAUUUUCUUUGCUCAACCUCGAAUUAUUGUUACUGAAAAAUCACCUCAGGAGAGUAUUUUCUCGGCUGUUGGGAGGUAUACAUGUUUGUUAGCAUGAUUAAUUGUGGAUGCAAUGUUGAAGACUGAUAUUAUCUAUGUUGUAGUGUGAAAUCAAUGAGUAAAUGCUAUCAACAAGGAAUUGUUAUCUCUAUCGGCAAAUCAUCAAGGAUUGAGAUCCUUUGCUAAGAAGAUAUGUAUAUGAUCUAUUUACCUCUAUAUGAAUACUAAACAUUGAUGAGCCAUAUCAUAGCUUCUUCCAAAGCAGUGUAUUUAUUAUUUGUAAGAUAUUUUAACACCACUUUGUUCGAGUGUCAUUUCUAUUUUGUUGUAUUUGCAGCUCCAUGCUUUUGUGGAGUAUGGAACUGUUAAAGAUGCAUCAAUGGAAGUAUGUCAUCUUUGUUAGGAAGUAUUAGUAUUGGUCUAGGAGUCCUAUUAGUCUAUGUUUACUUUCCUUGCACAUCAAGUCAUAUGUAAUAUAUAUAUGCCCCUUGGGCCNNNN